AUGUUAGCGGCGGACGGGUGAGUAACACGUGGAUAACCUACCUAUAAGACUGGGAUAACUUCGGGAAACCGGAGCUAAUACCGGAUAAUAUUUUGAACCGCAUGGUUCAAAAGUGAAAGACGGUCUUGCUGUCACUUAUAGAUGGAUCCGCGCUGCAUUAGCUAGUUGGUAAGGUAACGGCUUACCAAGGCAACGAUGCAUAGCCGACCUGAGAGGGUGAUCGGCCACACUGGAACUGAGACACGGUCCAGACUCCUACGGGAGGCAGCAGUAGGGAAUCUUCCGCAAUGGGCGAAAGCCUGACGGAGCAACGCCGCGUGAGUGAUGAAGGUCUUCGGAUCGUAAAACUCUGUUAUUAGGGAAGAACAUAUGUGUAAGUAACUGUGCACAUCUUGACGGUACCUAAUCAGAAAGCCACGGCUAACUACGUGCCAGCAGCCGCGGUAAUACGUAGGUGGCAAGCGUUAUCCGGAAUUAUUGGGCGUAAAGCGCGCGUAGGCGGUUUUUUAAGUCUGAUGUGAAAGCCCACGGCUCAACCGUGGAGGGUCAUUGGAAACUGGAAAACUUGAGUGCAGAAGAGGAAAGUGGAAUUCCAUGUGUAGCGGUGAAAUGCGCAGAGAUAUGGAG
rnacentral:rRNA from 1 species